rnacentral:rRNA from 1 species
ACGGGAGGCAGCAGUGGGGGAUAUUGCACAAUGGGCGCAAGCCUGAUGCAGCGAUGCCGCGUGAGGGAAGAAGGUUUUCGGAUUGUAAACCUCUGUCAACAGGGACGAAAAUGACGGUACCUGUGAAGGAAGCUCCGGCUAACUACGUGCCAGCAGCCGCGGUAAUACGUAGGGAGCAAGCGUUAUCCGGAAUUACUGGGUGUAAAGGGCGCGUAGGCGGGGAUGCAAGUCAGAUGUGAAAUCCACGGGCUCAACUCAUGAACUGCAUUUGAAACUGUGUCUCUUGAGUGCUGGAGAGGUAGAUGGAAUUCCUAGUGUAGCGGUGAAAUGCGUAGAUAUUAGGAAGAACACCAGUGGCGAAGGCGAUCUACUGGACAGUAACUGACGCUGAGGCGCGAAAGCGUGGGGAGCAAACAGGAUUAGAUACCCUGGUA